AACCCAUGGUGAGGUUACCUUCUCAGUAAGUCCUUAUAUCUCUCCCAUGCAUCGUAAAGUGUUUCUAAAUCUAUCUGUACAAAAGAAGAGAUAUCAUUAUACAAUUU
rnacentral:snoRNA from 1 species